AUUGAACGCUGGCGGCAGGCCUAACACAUGCAAGUCGAGCGGAUGAAGGGAGCUUGCUCCUGGAUUCAGCGGCGGACGGGUGAGUAAUGCCUAGGAAUCUGCCUGGUAGUGGGGGAUAACGUCCGGAAACGGGCGCUAAUACCGCCUACGUCCUGAGGGAGCAAGUGGGGGAUCUUCGGACCUCACGCUAUCAGAUGAGCCUAGGUCGGAUUAGCUAGUUGGUGGGGUAAAGGCCUACCAAGGCGACGAUCCGUAACUGGUCUGAGAGGAUGAUCAGUCACACUGGAACUGAGACACGGUCCAGACUCCUACGGGAGGCAGCAGUGGGGAAUAUUGGACAAUGGGCGAAAGCCUGAUACAGCCAUGCCGCGUGUGUGAAGAAGGUCUUCGGAUUGUAAAGCACUUUAAGUGGGGAGGAAGGGCAGUAAGUUAAUACCUUGCUGUUUUGACGUUACCAACAGAAUAAGCACCGGCUAACUUCGUG
rnacentral:rRNA from 1 species